AACGAACGCUGGCGGCAGGCUUAACACAUGCAAGUCGAACGAGUGUAGCAAUACACAAGUGGCGCACGGGUGAGUAACGCGUGGGAACGUGCCUUUCAGUUCAGGAUAACACCGGGAAACUGGUGCUAAUACUGGAUAUUCCCUCCGGGGGAAAGAUUUAUCGCUGAAAGAUCGGCCCGCGUAAGAUUAGGUAGUUGGUG
rnacentral:rRNA from 1 species